rnacentral:rRNA from 1 species
CAGCCGCCGCGGUAAUACGUAGGUCCCGAGCGUUGUCCGGAUUUAUUGGGCGUAAAGCGAGCGCAGGCGGUUUGAUAAGUCUGAAGUUAAAGGCUGUGGCUCAACCAUUGUAGGCUUUGGAAACUGUUUAACUUGAGUGCAGAAGGGGAGAGUGGAAUUCCAUGUGUAGCGGUGAAAUGCGUAGAUAUAUGGAGGAACACCGGUGGCGAAGGCGACUCUCUGGUCUGUAACUGACGCUGAGGAGCGAAAGCGUGGGGAGCGAACAGGAUUAGAUACCCCAGUAGUCCCUGUCUCUUAUACA